UUCCCUAAUGCAGGUAACAGUUUAGGCACACACUUUUCCCUUUUCCCUAAUGCAGGUAACAGUUUAGGCACACACUUUUCCCUAAUGCAGGUAACAGUUUAGGCACACACUUUUCCCUAAUGCAGGUAACAGUUUAGGCACACACUUUUCCCUUUUCCCUAAUGCAGGUAACAGUUUA